UACGUAGGGAGCAAGCGUUGUCCGGAAUCGAUUGGCGUAAAGCGCGCGUAGGUGGCCUCGUAAGUCCGCUGUGAAAGUCAAAGGCUCAACCUUUGAAAGCCGGUGGAUACUGUGGGGCUAGAGUACGGAAGAGGCGAGUGGAAUUCCUGGUGUAGCGGUGGAAUGCGCAGGAUAUCAGGAGGAACACCGAUGGCGAAGGCAGGUCUCUGGGCCACUACUGACGCUGGAGAAGCGAAAGCAUGGGGAGCGAACAGG
rnacentral:rRNA from 1 species